UGCGAGGUCAUCCAAUCGGCCAGGAUAACCGGCUCUGACCCGGUUCAUGCACGUUCGAAUCGUGCCCUCGCAGCCA
rnacentral:tRNA from 1 species